rnacentral:rRNA from 1 species
CACGUAGGCGGCCUGGCAAGUCCGACGUGAAAGCCCGGGGCUCAACCCCGGACGUGCAUCGGAAACUGCUUGGCUUGAAUGCCGGAGGGGCCCCAGAGAAUUCCCGGUGUAGAGGUGAAAUUCGUAGAUAUCGGGAGGAAUACCAGUGGCGAAGGCGCUGGGCUGGACGGUGAUUGACGCUGAGGUGCGAAAGCGUGGGGAGCAAACA